GAUGAAGAACGUAGCGAAAUGCGAUACGUAGUGUGAAUUGCAGAAUUCAGUGAAUCAUCGAAUCUUUGAACGCACAUUGCACCUCUCGGUAUUCCGGGAGGUAUGCCUGUUCGAGCGUCAUUUGUACCCUCAAGCUCUGCUUGGUGUUGGGUGUUUGUUCCGCCUCUGUGUGUGAACUCGCCUCAAAACAAUUGGCAGCCGGCGUACUUGUUUCGGAGCGCAGCACAAGUCGCACUCUCUAUCAGCAAAGGUCUAGCAUCCAUUAAGCCUUUUUUUCAACUUUUGACCUCGGAUCAGGUAGGGAUACCCGCUGAACUUAAGCAUAUCAAUAAGCGGAGGA
rnacentral:misc_RNA from 1 species